UACAGAGGUCUCAAGCGUUGUUCGGAUUCAUUGGGCGUAAAGGGUGCGUAGGUGGCAUGGUCAGUCGGAUGUGAAAUCCCGGGGCUCAACCCCGGAACUGCAUUCGAUACUGCCGUGCUGGAGUACUGGAGAGGGAACUGGAAUUACGGUGUAGCAGUGAAAUGCGUAGAGAUCGUAAGGAAGGCCAGUGGCGAAGGCGAGUUCCUGGACAGUUACUGACGCUGAGGCACGAAGGCCAGGGGAGCAAACGGG
rnacentral:rRNA from 1 species